rnacentral:snoRNA from 1 species
UUCCGAAGUGUUGGGUUCCGUUCAGGGAAGCUUUCCUGUUCUGUUAACUAAACUUUGGGCCAUUGUAAUGUGCUGGGCGAGAUGAUUGGAUAAAAAGCAUUAUUCCAUUCAUUUACCUCCGACUCCUACAAAA